rnacentral:rRNA from 1 species
GACGAACGCUGGCGGCGUGCUUAACACAUGCAAGUCGAACGGAAAGGCCCUGCUUUUGUGGGGUGCUCGAGUUGCGAACGUGUGAGUAACACGUGAUUAACCUGCCCUUGACUUUGUGAUAACUUCAGGAAACUUUGGCUAAUACCGGAUAGGAUCUCCUGCUGCAUGGUGGGGGUUGGACAGUUUCGGCGGUUGGGGAUGGACUCGCGGCUUAUCAGCUUGUUGGUGGGGUAGUGGCUUACCAAGGCUUUGACGGGUAGCCGGCCUGAGAGGGUGACCGGCCACAUUGGGACUGAGAUACGGCCCAGACUCCUACGGGAGGCAGCAGUGGGGAAUAUUGCACAAUGGGCGGAAGCCUGAUGCAGCAAAGCCGCGUGCGGGAUGACGGCCUUCGGGUUGUAAACCGCUUUCGCCUGUGACGAAGCGUGAGUGACGGUAAUGGGUAAAGAAGCACCGGCUAACUACGUG